GGGCCCGCACAAGCGGUGGAGCAUGUGGUUCAAUUCGAUGCAGAGCGAAGAACCUUACCUGGGCUUGACAUGCUGGAAGUAGAAACCCGAAAGGGGGACGACCUGUUAAGUCAGGAGCCAGCACAGGUGGUGCAUGGCUGUCGUCAGCUCGUGCCGUGAGGUGUUGGGUUAAGUCCCGCAACGAGCGCAACCCUCACCCUAUGUUGCCAUCAGUUCGGCUGGGCACUCUUAGGGAACUGCCGGCGAAGAGCUGGAGGAAGGGGGGGAUGACGUCAAGUCCGUAUGCCCCUUAUGUCCAGGGCUACACACAUGCUACAAUGGUCGGUACAGAGGGUUGCCAACCCGCGAGGGGGAGCCAAUCCCAUAAAGCCGAUCUCAGUUCGGAUUGCAGGCUGCAACUCGCCUGCAUGAAGUAGGAAUCGCUAGUAAGCGCAGAUCAGCAGGCUGCGCUGAAUACGUUCCCGGGCCUU
rnacentral:rRNA from 1 species